CUGCUUUUGCAACAGCUAAUGGGGAUCCUAAUAAAAUACCAAAACUGCGUGACCUGAUCGCGUCUGGUGUGGAUGGAAAAAAUUAAAACACGCGCCCACCCGGUCUAGUCAGCAUGUAAGGCUCUGGUCUGUCCAAGAAGUGAUGAGGAAUGUCACCAAUACCACCUUCUUGAUCUUCACUGGCCGUCAAUACACAGUUGAGACCCUUUGAAAGGAACUCUUCAUGAACAUUGGCCUUAGAGCUCUGAGAGUCCACUUUGGUAUGGAUGGCUCUGCGAAUUAACCCCACUGAGAGCAAAAUCAGAAAGGGAUCAUCCCCCCCUGUGCUGGAGAUCCACCUCACCAAUGACAGUCUGCUUCUUUCACUCGACUGUGGAAAUCACCUACGGGGAUAUACUGGGCUAAUUCACACUGGGCUGGAACAAAGCCUGCAAUCUCAGCAGCCUUCGAGGAUUGCAGCUGCCUAUCUCUGCCACAAAGCACUACUCUUUUGUUCUUGGCAUGAACCCAUAUAGUUCCAGCUUCUCCCACGUGAAGGAGACGGUGAGGAGGCAGAGCUGCAGGUGCUGUGCUCCUAGACCAGGCCAUCCUACCAGGAGUGGGCUACAUCAUUAAGAACAAAACCCUGUUUUACCCCAGUCUUCACCCUUCUAUUAAGGUCAAGCAGCUCAUGGAAAACAAGGUCCACCAUUUUGUGAAAAUGACAUAAGAUUUCACUCUUCUAUUUUACAAGCAAGCUCCCAUCCAGGAACAGUUUAGUUGGCUGGGCUUACCAAGGAAGCAUGGGGAGCAACGAUCAUGUGGCCAAGAGAGAGAAAGAGGAGUGAACCUGUACACGCUGUACUCUGAUCAACCAGCCAAUGAGGAAGGCCUGUGACGCCUGCCUGACCCCUAGGCCUGAGCUUGAGUACACAACUCCUCUGAUAUGGACCAAUGUGGUUGUGCGCAAAGCAAUUCUAAUCACAUUUAGGGCUGGUGUCAUAGACCCAUGAUUCAGGAAUACAUUGUAUCCAGUUAUGACUAGAGGCGACUUUGUGCAGGUUUCCUUGACCAAGAAAGCCACCCUCAAACCCAAGCUCCAACUGGGGGUACACAGACACCGACACUUCCCAGCAACCCUUGCUGUGUGUCCUAUGGGUUGCCCAAUGUGCUCCGAGUGGUCACCAAGCAGGGUGACAACAAAGGAAAACAGUUCUACACCUGUAAAAAUGACAGGUAAAUUAGCAAGUAAAUAUUGCAACUAUUUAUUUUGGUUUGAAGAAGCAGUUAUAGAGAAGUCCAUUUGAAGGGAAAUGUGUAGUUUGGGGCAGAGAUUAAACUGAGUUUAAAUGUAUUUGGCUAAG